UACGUAGGGUGCGAGCGUUAAUCGGAAUUACUGGGCGUAAAGCGUGCGCAGGCGGUUUUGUAAGCCAGAUGUGAAAUCCCCGGGCUCAACCUGGGAAUGGCAUUUGGGACUGCAAGGCUGGAGUGCGGCAGAGGAGACUGGAAUUCCUGGUGUAGCAGUGAAAUGCGUAGAUAUCAGGAGGAAUACCGAUGGCGAAGGCAGGUCUCUGGGCUGACACUGGCGCUCAUGCACGAAAGCGUGGGGAGCAAACAGG
rnacentral:rRNA from 1 species